AAGAAAAGCAAGACGAGUUCUUGGUUUGCCUCUGCCUGUGAGGUUUAAACCUACGUCUUCCAAUUGCCAUGGGAGUACCCCAACCACAAGACUGCAGGUGACGCUGGGUGGAGAAAGCAUUUCUGCAUUCCUUGGUCAAGCUGUGGGACUGCACAGGAAAGACUUAUGAAAUUCCCACGACCCUUUGUGAGGAAAAAAGGAUGACUGGAUCCUGGGGCAUUUCCCCUUUUCUCUUCAAUCUGAUGUCUGUUUAUCUAGACAGAAUAUGAGAUUCAGAUUUGGGAAGGGGGAGUGGCAAUUUUGGGACUGAGUCAAGCAAGCAUUUAAUAAGUAAAGGAUACAGAUUUAUACCCUCUACAUCCUUCAAAUCUCAGUCUAGCUCUGUAGUACAAAAUACCCAUACAGCUAUAUCCAAAACUUAAGACAAUCCUCUUUUUAAUCAUUAGGCCACAGACUCAUAUUCUCCUUGUAAAGUCACCUUGAGGGACUACGGAUCUUUCAUUUCUUUCUCUCUACUCAUUGGAGUAGCUUGAAUGAGGAAAUGAAUGCUUUCUUCUCUCCACCUCCCGGUGCCCGACAUCUCACCCUCACCUGAUAACUGGAGGUUUAGGUUGGUUUCAUGGGAAAUGGAAACUCUGAACCCCUGAGGCUGAGGAGGGCCCAGAGCCCACUGUUCCACUUCCUGGGUGAGUGCUUUCAUCCCGGGGUUAUUACAGGAGCGGAGGGCACUGGCACUACCGUCUCCUCCUCCGCCAGCUGCAUUUAAAAGAAGAAAGCAACUAUGACUGCAUUCUUGAAGGGUGUGAUCCUGCGAGCAAGAGCAUGGAAGGGACAGUAAUAACUUUUGAAGAGCUACUUCCCCCACAGCAUCCUACCAGCCAGUCCCAGCCCAACCAGUGCCUGUGUCUGGGAGACAAUUUAGUUACUUCCACACUUUCCUGGAAAGAUUUUGCCUGGCACACUCCUGUCUCAGCAGGAAAGGGAUUGCUCCAGGCUAGUUUUGAUAGAAGAAUUUGUUCCUCAAAAGAAGCAAGGAUUUUCCACCAGUACUUCAAGGACCAUCAGCUGAUGCAAACAGAUUCACUGGUGCUCAGUGGAUCUGAAGGGGUCAAAUAGGUGCUGCUGCCAUCUUUAAGGAAAUUUCAGCAUCUGUGCUUCCUGCUGCCCAGUGGGAACUGUGAAUUGGGCAGUGAACCCUAUAGAAAUGGGUUCACAGGAGGCUGGUCCUCCUCCUGGGGUUGUAUAUUUAUGGUCAAGUACAUGGCCGGAUGAGAUAUUAUGACAUCAUGGGUUUUGCCAAGCCCUUCUCAGCUUUGCUAGUCCAGGUAACAGGACUUUCCCUCAGUGGGAGCAGAGAAUAACUUUGGUACAAGCUGCCCUGCUGAAGAGGUACAGAGGUUAAUCUAUGAAAUUGGAAGAGAAGGUUUUAGUCUCUUCCCACUCAGAAAUCAUUCAUGUAAUUGUACCUCACACCUAGACUAACACCCUACCUCACCUUAGCUGUAACUGAAAAAAAAAAAAAAAAAAAAGCAGUAUCAGCAUGCUAGAGGCACGACUAUAUCAAAAGUUUAGAGUGAAGUACAGGCAUUUUGCCUUUGGGCACCCAAACUGAGGCAUCUAAAGUGACUGGUAUCCGGUCAGUUGGUACUCAGAAGUUUCUAAAAAUCAGCACGUGGAAAUACCGAAGAAAAGAUCACAAAUUUAAGAACCUUUCUGUCUAAAACCCGUUCUCACUGGGUAAUUUUGGAACAACUUCCACACCCCCACUCCAAAAUGCUUUUAGGAGAUUGAAAUAACCAUGGAAACACUUUGCAUUUGAGGUCAGAGACAAAACUGCUCCAAAACUGACACCUUACCUACCAUGUUCCCAGUCUGGUGGAAAUACUGCAUCUGAAAUUGAAAGGUUUAUGUUGAAAAUGUUGACACAGCCCUAAAUUGGAGUGAUGUGGGUGUCAGGGAGGAGCAUGGGGGUGAGGGCUUUUUGAAUCAGUCCUUCUUUUAAUCCUUGGAAAGGGCCUGUAGAAAAGAUUCAUUUUCUAUAUCGAGUUUCAUUCAUUGAAAGGAUUCCAAAGAUAAAACUCAUAAACUGUGCAAACACAGAUACAAUGUGGGUGAAAGGGUUAAGGGACUGAAGAAGACUCAGUAAUUCUCACAAAUGGGGACCAGAUGUUGUUUGACAUUUUAAAAACAUGCAGUCUCCUCUACCCCUACUUACCUUUCUGAUACUGUGAAUUGUUCAGUUGAGAUCAAUGAGGAAUUACUGAACACGUAGUUUAUUUUCCAUGGUGUCUUCUGUUUGUUUCAAAAAACACAUGGGGAAAAGAAUAAGGAUGCAUUAAUAAUAGCAAGAGCCACUCUCAGCUGGCAUAAAUUGGCAUGGUUCCACCAAAGUCAAUAGGAGAGCUCUGAUUUACAGCAGAUGGGCUUUUGUCCAUCAGUGCGAUAUCCUAUACCAAGCGAUAUGACAAGAGCUGUUUACAGACUAUGUCAUGUUGUUCAAUAUUAUGGCUGAGAAGGGCUGUGCCAGGUCAAAUGCUGUGGUGGAAAGUACGCCAAUACAGAACCACAGCUGUAUACACAGGAGUUUUAAAAUCCCAGGAGAAAAGAGUUGCACAUCUAAGAAUGAGAAUAAAGGUGCCAAUAGUAUUGGUCA
rnacentral:lncRNA from 1 species